UUGGUCUUAGAAUAUUUAUUUUCGGUGACCAAAAUACUUUUAGUCGCCAAAAUAGUUAUUUUUGGUGACUAAAAUAUUAGCCGCGGUUAGUUAAAUGUUUGGUUGCGAAAUAAAUUAGUCUGUCAUAAAUUAACAUUUGGCGACAAACAACAAGUUUAAUUGCUAAAGCUAUAUAAAAUUUUAGUGGGAAAAAUUAAAAGAUUGGCGUCCAGUUCUUCUCAGUAUUUUCGAAAAUAGGGGUUCUUCUCUUCUCUUCCCCUCUCUCUCUCUCUCUCUCUCUCUCUCUCUCUCACACACACACACACACACAGAACCAGUCACCACCAAAUCUCAUCUCACUGCAAUCGCUCAUCAUUGUUGCUCACCAUAAGUUGCACAUCGCCACCGCCACCGCCGUAAUACAAAUAGUUUCUCGCUUGCUCUCUCUCUCUCUCCCCUUUCCUCUAUUUCCCCAUUUCUCACUCUUGCUUUAGGGUUUAUAUGAUUUAUUUAGUUUAAUUUCCUGUUUAGCUUGUUUUUUUGUUUAAUUUCUUCAAAUUGCAGUAAAUUUGGAGUUGCAUUGGUAGAUUGUCUAGCUAAUUUUGCAGUUCUCUUUGUUUUUGUCAGGGGAAAAACUUGGGUUCAGUGAGGCAUUUGAGUUUAUCAAGAAAAAAUUUGGGGUUCCAGUGGUUGUGUGUCCUGCUUUGGGGGGUUAGGAGCUGGCUCUCUCUUUGAUCACCAACAUUGUGGCCAUAUCAUCGUUAUCAUCACCAUCUCUCAUUUCUCUCUCGUUGGUUAGAAGUAAGAACCCUCGUUCUCUGUAUCUCAAUCUCUAUAGAUACCUACCUAUUACAGAAACAACAUUUCCAUAAAUGGGGUUAAGGCUAGAGUAUUAAGGUGUCCUUUCCGCUUAUGGUCAGUCAACUUGAUAAUGCUAUCAAGAAACAUAAGUGAGUGUUAUUUGCAUCACCCUAAAUUAUUAUUCUCUCUCUCUCUCUCCUGUUAUUUCAAUUGUUCUAGAGUGAAAAAUAAAUUUUGAGAUGAAAGGAAAUGGAAAACGUUAAGUUUCCAGUUGUAAGGUGUGAAUGGCAUCAUACAAAAAUUAUGUAACCACUAGCUCUAAAAACUCAUUUGAACAUUCCUGUAUAAUAAAAAGGUAGGACACAAGUAUAUAUUCAGUAGAUAAUCAUAAUUCAAGAAACUUUGAAUAUCAAUCAAGUAACUAUUCAAAAUGGAUUCUUAUAUAAAGGCCAAUUAUUUUUUAAUGUAUUGUAGUUAUUAUAAAAUUUCCAAUGGCGGCUUUUGCAAUGGAGGCUUCCUAGUAUAGAGCCUCUAUUUCAAAUGGAGGUUUUCGGAGCCUCCAUUCCAAGUCUAGGCUUAUAAUUGAAUUUUCUACUUCAUCAUCUAUUUCUUGUGAGGUGUGUGACUUGGGGAGAAAUGGGUCUAGAUUGUGAAAUAGGUUGGGGUCAAGACAACUCUAGUAAAAUUUUCUAAAUCAACAAUAUUUUAAUAAUGUUUUUGGUAAAGUUAACGUAUAUCUUUGUUCUCCUCCAAGUUAACAUAUAUAGUUGUACCUUGUGCACAAAGCUCCUACUUACAACAUAAUCUGGGAGAGGUAGUUAACGCGUAAAGAUAAAUAAUGUUGAUUUGGAAUGAGUGACUGAUCUUAUGCUUCUAAACUGUUGAUCAUGUUUCUUGAACGGUGCCAAAACUUCCAUUUUAUUGUGACAGUCUUCUGAAGUAAUGAUUUAAGCCCCCUUCCACUUUUCUGACCAAAAAGUUGGUAAAUUGAUGGAUUAUCUAAUUCUGUUGAGGAUCGUACCCAUUCUUGGUUUACCAAAAUUAUAAAUAAAAGAAAAACUUUUUUAUAGGUUUGUAUAUGUGCCAUUUGUGGAAGCAUCAACAUUUUUUUUUUCUAGCAACAUUACAAUUAGUUCUUUCCAUCUAAUCAUCUAGUCUGGGAUUUUGAGAGAAUGGAGUCAUGUAGUCAGCAACUUGAUGUGGUAAAAGUCCUUAUAAUUGUAGGAAUAUCUUGUAUGACUUUAUGCUUUUGAAAGUAGCAAGUAUGUGUACUCGUCACUUACAUCAUUUCCUUCAUUGACCUAAGUACUUUUUUGUUUUGGAGAAGUUCAGUGUCUUAGGUAGCUUAUGAAGCUGGUAUAUACAUAUCCUAUUUGAGAGUAUUUCAAGUACUGAGUCUGGGUUCUUGUAGGAACCAAGUGCUUUGUUAUUGUCUGGUAUUGUGAGUUGUUAGUAUUUUAGUUGUUAUAAUUUUACAUCUUGUCACACCCCUCCUUCUUCCAAUGGGUGAGCCUUAGAUUGUGAAAGAGGAACUAAGGAUGCAAUCUAAAAGCUGUGGAGAAUGGAGAUUACAGAUUGGGUUAACAUUUUUUAAGUUGAAGUUUUGAUACCUUUGUUUGCAUUUGGUUCCCCAAAUAUUUUACCAAUUAAGAUGUCUGUCAAAGUGGAGUCAUGUGGCCGGUCAAAGUGCAAUCCUAUUUCAUGGAUUUUUUUUUCUUCUUCUGAUAAUUAAAUAAAGUUGAAAGAGGUGAAACCUCUUUACACUGUAGGGGUGAAUUCUCUUUACACAAUGGGAACAAAACUAAAAGCCAACAACAAAACUAAACUCUCCUAAAAAUCAAUAGAAGCUAAAAAACAAUUAAAAAGCCAUCUUGACAACUGAAAAUGAUAUAUGUAUGAAGCAAUUUUGCUUAGCAUUUUGUUUGUACUUCAGAAGUACGGGCACUUUUAAGAAAGUAACAUGUUUAACACUUUAUGGAUACUUCCCAACACUUGGACACUUAUAAAACACAUUACACUUUUGUGUAAUCCCACUUUUUUGUCGUCCUCUACUUUUUGUAUGAAUUUGUAUUAAUCGUACAUAUAGGAUUUGGUGGGGUACAUGAUACUUUUGACAUCGAACAGAUACAUUAUUGUCAUGGUAUAUAGAUAACCUUUUGUCAUGGUACAUAUUACCAUGUUAAUUUGUCCUAUGUCAAAUGGCCAUUUAGCAUAGUAACAAAUAUAUUUUUGUGUACGGAGGACAUGGUUUUCGUAUGAUUAUUUGUUUUGUAUGAAAUUAUUAUUUUAAGUUGGAAUAUACUUGGUUUGUAUGCAAUGUUGACAUUAAAAGUUAUUCUCUUGUU